rnacentral:rRNA from 1 species
GAUCCUGGCUCAGAGUGAACGCUGGCGGCAGGCCUAACACAUGCAAGUCGAGCGGCAGCGCGUCCGACCACCCUCGGGUGGUCGGAUGGCGGCGAGCGGCGGACGGGUGAGGAAUGCAUCGGAAUCUGCCUCGUUGUGGGGGAUAACGUAGGGAAACUUACGCUAAUACCGCAUACGACCUACGGGUGAAAGUGGGGGACCUUCGGGCCUCACGCGAUGAGAUGAGCCGAUGCCGGAUUAGCUAGUUGGCGGGUAAAGGCCCACCAAGGCGACGAUCCGUAGCUGGUCUGAGAGGAUGAUCAGCCACACUGGAACUGAGACACGGUCCAGACUCCUACGGGAGGCAGCAGUGGGGAAUAUUGGACAAUGGGGGCAACCCUGAUCCAGCCAUGCCGCGUGUGUGAAGAAGGCCUUCGGGUUGUAAAGCACUUUUGUUGGGGAAGAAACCGGCCGGGUUAAUACCCUGGUUGAAUGACGGUACCCAAAGAAUAAGCACCGGCUAACUUCGUG